AAGCGGAGGAACAUGUGGUUUAAUUCGAUGAUACGCGAGGAACCUUACCUGGGCUUAAAUGUAGAGUGCAUUGAGAGGAAACUUUCAUUUUCUUCGGAACUCUUUACAAGGUGCUGCAUGGUUGUCGUCAGCUCGUGCCGUGAGGUGUCGGGUUAAGUCCCAUAACGAGCGCAACCCUUAUCGUUAGUUGCCAGCGGGUAAUGCCGGGAACUCUAGCGAAACUGCCGGUGUAAACCGAGAGGAAGGUGGGGAUGACGUCAAAUCAUCAUGCCCCUUAUGACCUGGGCUACACACGUGCUGCAAUGGUCUGAACAGAGGGCUGCGAAACCGCGGGGUGAAGCUAAUCCCUUAAAACAGAUCUCAGUUCGGAUUGCAGGCUGCAACUCGCCUGCAUGAAGUUGGAGUUGCUAGUAAUCGCAGAUCAGAAUGCUGCGGUGAAUGCGUUCCCGGGUCUU
rnacentral:rRNA from 1 species